GUCCCCUUAGUGCAAUGGUUAGCACGUCAGACUUCUAUGAAUUAAUAAUAUCUGAAGGUUGCGAGUUCGAGUCUCGCAGGGGAUA
rfam:Fistulina hepatica ATCC 64428 unplaced genomic scaffold FISHEscaffold_484, whole genome shotgun sequence.